ACCAACAGGGGUGCCUCAAUACAAGGGCUGAGAUCAUACCCUCUGAACCUGAUCCGGGUAAUGCCGGCGAAGGGAGAGAGUUUUU
rnacentral:ncRNA from 1 species